UAGGGAAUCUUCCGCAAUGGGCGAAAGCUUGACGGAGCAACGCCGCGUGAGUGAUGAAGGUCUUCGGAUCGUAAAACUCUGUUAUUAGGGAAGAACAAAUGUGUAAGUAACUAUGCACGUCUUGACGGUACCUAAUCAGAAAGCCACGGCUAACUACGUGCCAGCAGCCGCGGUAAUACGUAGGUGGCAAGCGUUAUCCGGAAUUAUUGGGCGUAAAGCGCGCGUAGGCGGUUUUUUAAGUCUGAUGUGAAGGCCCACGGCUCAACCGUGGAGGGUCAUUGGAAACUGGAAAACUUGAGUGCAGAAGAGGAAAGUGGAAUUCCAUGUGUAGCGGUGAAAUGCGCAGAGAUAUGGAGGAACACCAGUGGCGAAGGCGACUUUCUGGUCUGUAACUGACGCUGAUGUGCGAAAGCGUGGGGAUCAAACAGG
rnacentral:rRNA from 1 species